rnacentral:lncRNA from 1 species
UGUAGACCACCUGUUUUGGAAGAAGGAGAUCCUCUUCCUUGAUGAAGCAAGAUUCUAUGUUGAGGCCCGUGCCAAGGAAUUGAAGAAAAUCUAUGGCCAACAGCCAUCUAAGAAAGGAGGCCCUCAGUCCAACAGAUCAAAAGGAACUGAAUCCUAUCAACAGCCAUGUAAAUGAACUUUGAAGUGUAUCUCAGGAUGAGCCUUCAGAUGAGCCCCUUGCCCUGGCCUACACAUUGACUGAAGCUUUGUGAAAGGGCCUGAAGCAAGGACCCAGUUAAGCCAUGUCUAGAUUCCUGACCCACAGAAAUUGCGAGAUUAUAAAAUGUAUGCUGUUUUAAGCUGCUAAAUUUUGUGGUGAUUUGUUAUACAACAAUAGACAAGAAAUGCAUCUGGGUGCUUUUUAUGCUCCCCUGGCCAAAAUGUUUCAUUCAGAGUUGACCACAUGAUCCAACUCAGUACAAUAAAAGUUAGGGUCUCUCUCCCUCUGCUGUACACACAGGGCAUAAGAUUGCAAAGACUUAAUCUUGGUGGUAUUGGAAGUCUUACUUGAACCAUUUGGAGUCUGAAAAGGAAGCCAACAUAGAGCAUAAUAGAGUAGAAAAAUGGAAAGAGG